rnacentral:rRNA from 1 species
GCAGAAGAAGCACCGGCUAACUCCGUGCCAGCAGCCGCGGUAAUACGGAGGGUGCAAGCGUUAAUCGGAAUUACUGGGCGUAAAGCGCGCGUAGGCGGCUUGAUAAGCCGGUUGUGAAAGCCCCGGGCUCAACCUGGGAACGGCAUCCGGAACUGUCAGGCUAGAGUGCAGGAGAGGAAGGUAGAAUUCCCGGUGUAGCGGUGAAAUGCGUAGAGAUCGGGAGGAAUACCAGUGGCGAAGGCGGCCUUCUGGACUGACACUGACGCUGAGGUGCGAAAGCGUGGGUAGCAAACAGGAUUAGAUACCCUGGUAGUCCACGCCGUAAACGAUGUCGACUAGCCGUUGGGGUCCUCGAGACCUUUGUGGCGCAGUUAACGCGAUAAGUCGACCGCCUGGGGAGUACGGCCGCAAGGUUAAAACUCAAAUGAAUUGACGGGGGCCCGCACAAGCGGUGGAGCAUGUGGUUUAAUUCGAUGCAACGCGAAGAACCUUACCUACUCUUGACAUCGAGCGAACCAUCCAGAGAUGGAUGGGUGCCUUCGGGAACGCUCAGACAGGUGCUGCAUGGCCGUCGUCAGCUCGUGUUGUGAAAUGUUGGGUUAAGUCCCGUAACGAGCGCAACCCUUGUCCCUAUUUGCCAGCGAUUCGGUCGGGAACUCUAGGGAGACUGCCGGUGACAAACCGGAGGAAGGUGGGGACGACGUCAGGUCAUCAUGGCCCUUACGAGUAGGGCUACACACGUGCUACAAUGGCCGGUACAAUGGGCUGCAAUCCCGCGAGGGGGAGCUAAUCUCAUAAAGCCGGUCUCAGUCCGGAUCGGAGUCUGCAACUCGACUCCGUGAAGUCGGAAUCGCUAGUAAUCGUGCAUCAGAAUGGCACGGUGAAUACGUUCCCGGGCCUUGUACACACCGCCCGUCACACCAUGGGAGUGGACUGCACCAGAAGUGGUUAGCCUAACUUCGGAGGGCGAUCACCACGGUGUGGUUCAUGACUGGGGUGAAGUCGUAACAAGGUAGCCGUAGGGGAACCUGCGGCUG